rnacentral:rRNA from 1 species
UACGUAGGGAGCAAGCGUUGUCCGGAUUUAUUGGGCGUAAAGAGCUCGUAGGCGGUUCCGUAAGUCGCGAAGUCAAAUCUCUGGGCUCAACCCAGAAUCGCUUCCGAUACUGCGGUGACUGGAGUCCGGUAGGGGAGUGUGGAAUUCCUGGUGUAGCGGUAAAAUGCACAGAUAUAUAGAAGAACACCAAUAACGGCGAAGGCAGUUAACUAUUCUGUUACUGACACUGAGGCACGAAAGCGUGGGGAGCAAAACGG